rnacentral:rRNA from 1 species
UGCCUUAGGCAUGCAAGUCGAACGGGUUAGGCGCAAGCCUAAUCAGUGGCAGACGGGUGAGUAACGCGUAGGAAUCUACCCUAAAGUGUGGAAUAGCUGGCCGAAAGGCCAAUUAAUACCGCAUGUUAUUCUGCUUUGCAGAAUCAAAGAGCAUAACUGCUCGCUUUAGGAUGAGCCUGCGUCCUAUCAGCUAGUUGGUAAGGUAAUGGCUUACCAAGGCUAUGACGGGUAGCUAAUCUGAGAGGAUGACCAGCCACAAUGUUACUGAGAUACGGAACAUACACCUACGGGUGGCAGCAACCGGGAUCUUNCGCAAUGGACGAAAGUCUGACGCAGCGACGCUGUGAGUGAUGAAGGCCUUAGGGUUGUAAACUCC